CCUGCGCAGGCUACCAUUCCCGUCGAGCGGAUGAAGAGAGCUUGCUCUCUGAUUCAGCGGCGGACGGGUGAGUAAUGCCUAGGAAUCUGCCUGGUAGUGGGGGACAACGUUUCGAAAGGAACGCUAAUACCGCAUACGUCCUACGGGAGAAAGCAGGGGNACCUUCGGGCCUUGCGCUAUCAGAUGAGCCUAGGUCGGAUUAGCUAGUUGGUGAGGUAAUGGCUCACCAAGGCGACGAUCCGUAACUGGUCUGAGAGGAUGAUCAGUCACACUGGAACUGAGACACGGUCCAGACUCCUACGGGAGGCAGCAGUGGGGAAUAUUGGACAAUGGGCGGAAGCCUGAUCCAGCCAUGCCGCGUGUGUGAAGAAGGUCUUCGGAUUGUAAAGCACUUUAAGUUGGGAGGAAGGGCAGUUACCUAAUACGUGAUUGUUUUGACGUUACCGACAGAAUAAGCACCGGCUAACUCUGUGCCAGCAGCCGCGGUAAUACAGAGGGUGCAAGCGUUAAUCGGAAUUACUGGGCGUAAAGCGCGCGUAGGUGGUUAGUUAAGUUGGAUGUGAAAUCCCCGGGCUCAACCUGGGAACUGCAUUCAAAACUGACUGACUAGAGUAUGGUAGAGGGUGGUGGAAUUUCCUGUGUACCGGUGAAAUGCGNAGANNUAGGAAGGAACACCAGUGGCGAAGGCGACCACCUGGACUGAUACUGACACUGANGUGCGAAAGCGUGGGGGAGCAAACAGGAUUAGAUACCCUGGUAGUCCACGCCGUAAACGAUGUCNACUAGCCGUUGGGAGCCUUGAGCUCUUAGUGGGCAGCUAACGCAUUAAUUGACNCCUGGGGAGUNCGGCCCCAGGUUAAACUCNAAUAAUUGACGGGGG
rnacentral:rRNA from 1 species